rnacentral:rRNA from 1 species
UACAGAGGGGGCAAGCGUUGUUCGGAAUUACUGGGCGUAAAGGGCGCGUAGGCGGCCUACUAAGUCAGACGUGAAAUCCCCCGGCUUAACCUGGGAACUGCGUCUGAUACUGGAUGGCUUGAGUAUGGGAGAGGAUGAGGGAAUUCCUGGUGUAGCGGUGAAAUGCGUAGAUAUCGGGAGGAACACCAGUGGCGAAGGCGACUACCUGGCCCUGUUCUUGACG